UACGUAGGGUGCGAGCGUUAAUCGGAAUUACUGGGCGUAAAGCGUGCGCAGGCGGUUCGUUGUGUCCGUCGUGAAAGCCCCGGGCUUAACCUGGGAACUGCGAUGGAAACUAGCGAGCUGGAGUGUGGCAGAGGGGGGUGGAAUUCCGCGUGUAGCAGUGAAAUGCGCAGAUAUCAGGAAGAACACCCGUGGCGAAGGCGGUUCUCUGGGACGGUACUGACGCUGAGACGCGAAAGCGUGGGGAGCGAACAGG
rnacentral:rRNA from 1 species